AAAUACUCCUUACAUCCCAAAAUAUAAGAGAUUUUGGUUGGAUGUAACACAUUCUAGUACUACAAAUCUGGACUGGGAGCCUGUCCAAAUUCAUAGUACUAGGAUGUGUCCCAUCCAACCCAAAUCCCUUAUAUUUUGGGACGAAGGGAG
rnacentral:misc_RNA from 1 species